GUCCAUCUCAGCUCACUGAUUUUGGAAUAGGAUGACGGUGGCAUUACUGCUCUAUUUAUUCAGCUCCGCAGCAAAGGUUGUUGCCAUGUCCAGACUUGUAAGUCAACUUCAAGAUCGACAUGGAAUGUUAGGUAUGUUCAAGUAUAUAAACCGGGUAAAGACUGAGCAGUAAAAAGAGUGGGAGUACGAGCUACACGUAUAGUACCAAACUUAUGCAUCUUCUACUGAAGCUCUAAUCAGUCCACCCCCGGAGUUUGUGAAAAGAUAAACGAGUGGCACUGGCUCUGCGGUCAUUUUUUGAGCUCGAAAUUUCUGAAGCUAAAUAGGGUAACUCGGAAGCGAAGCAGUACCUCCAUCAUUCUAGCUUUCGGGCCCUCACUUUUAGGGUCAAAGGACGGCUUGAGACACAUUUUUUUAUGGAAACCAGAUUGUUGACGACAUUUAUGCUUCUAUUUCACAAAAGCAUGACGAGUGUCUCGCCAAACUCUCCUAGCAGCAAUCAGACUCACCUACGGAGCAACUAACACCUGAUCUAAAUGUUUCUACAGUUGCUAAUGGACGAGGUUAGGCUAUGGACAGGCUGAGAGCUUUGUGGUCUAGGAGCGAGUCAGGUUCGAAACGUUUGUGCGACAACCGUUGCCUGACUAAAUUUUUUGACAAAUUUCUAUCGAGUGAAAAUUUAGGUGACUGAACCUUUAUUUUGCCCGAUCAAAUCCUUUCAACUGGACAUGGCUUUUUUUUAUUUUUGUAGUGAUACACAAUCUCCUAUUUGACUGCAUACAAAUAGAUAGACCGGGUCAUCCUUUUUAUGUUUGUAAGGAUGAUCUUUAAAUGAAGAAUAAGAAUUGACAGUUUGUAUU
rnacentral:sRNA from 1 species